UAUUUCUCAACUGAAGGUUGAAAAUAUCUCUGGCAAUUUUCAAAUGUGCAAACCUGCCUAUAUUAUCUGCGCUGUUCUGCGAUUCAAUGUAAACAAAAAAGAGACCGAAUUCCUUGAUAUCAUAAAAAAAGUAAACUAGUCCAGGGGGGAGCCUCAGCAGCUCCUCCCCCUCCCUGGCCGUCCAUCAGGACCGCCAAUCAACCAAAAGCUCUAUGGCAAUACGCGGUUUGUUGUUCAAUAAAAAAAAAAGAACAAGCGAGAAAAAUGAAAACUCAAUGAAAAGAAAGCUAUAUCGCAGAAUAUAAGCUCAACUCACCAAAAAUUUUCUUCGUUCAGGAUCACUACAACACACGUGUUAGUACUAGCGAUGACCCCGAGCGAGUAUGAAAAUGCUACUGAUGGCAAAUUAAAAAUAUUGAUAAACUGAAAGAUUGAAAACUGACAGAAUAAUUUUAACUGUAAAAUACUGUAUGUUCAGAAUCACAGAACAUACCCCCUUAGAAUGGAAACUGCAAUGAUUGGUUAUGGAGAUAAAUUCAGCUGUCCACCUAGCGGUAUGAGCACACAAACUAUGAGGAAUUUCUCUGAUAUUUGACUCUUAAUGAUUGCAUUUACCAAAUAUAUCGGGUCAAUAAAAAACCCUGUUAUGUAAUAUUUUAUUCAAUACGUAGUCAAUAAAUCAGUUACAACCAUG